rnacentral:lncRNA from 1 species
CUUGUUUAUUGUUUAUCAAAUGUAGAGGAUUGCAGGGUUAAAUUAUUAGUGAGGUGAACCGGAUAUUGGUAGUUUAGAAUAUAAUAGAUGAGAAUCUGAGAGUUCCUCAGUAAUGUCAUGCCUCAUUAAUUCCAUGCAAUCCCACAUUUGCAGAAUAUGUCUGAUGUUUAAUACUGCCAAAAAAUAUAAAAUGUAGCAUCUUUUACAUACCCAAAAGUGGGUAAUGACGCCUGAAUUUAUGAACUUCGAAAUAAAAUUCAUGGCAUAAAAUAAGGAGAGAGGAUUAUUUCUCAAUAUUUUUUUAAAUUGAGUGGAUUAU